UCCGAGUUGUCCCCGGCAGUCCUCUUAGAGUCCCCGGCAUUACCCGCUGGCAACUAAGAGCAGGGGUUGCGCUCGUUGCGGCACUUAAGCCAACACCUCACGGCACGAGCUGACGACAGCCAUGCAGCACCUGUGGUGCACCCUCGAAGGUCACACGUUUCCGUGCGCUUGCAGCACCAUGUCAAGCCCAGGUAAGAUUCUUCGCGUCGCAUCGAAUUAAAGAACAUGCUCCGCUGCUUGUGCGGGCCCCCGUCAAUUCUUUUGAGUUUCAUUCUUGCGAACGUACUCCCCAGGUGGGUUACUUAUCACUUUCGCUUAGCCACUCAGUCUUACGACCAAACAGCUAGUAACCAUCGUUUACGGCGUAGACUAC
rnacentral:misc_RNA from 1 species